rnacentral:rRNA from 1 species
UGCCAGCCGCCGCGGUAAGACGAAGGUGGCAACCGUUGUUCGGAAUUACUGGGCAUAAAGAGCACGUAGGCGGACUACUAAGUCGGGUGUGAAAUCCCUCGGCCCAACCGAGGAACUGCGCCCGAUACUGGUAGUCUUGAGGACAGGAGGGGAGCGUGGAAUUCCUGGUGGAGCGGUGAAAUGCGUUGAUAUCAGGAGGAACACCGGCGGCGAAGGCGACUAUCUGGGCCAUAACUGACGCUGAUGUGCGAAAGCUAGGGGAGCAAACGGGAUUAGAUA